rnacentral:lncRNA from 1 species
UAGCCUAUCGUGCUGCAUUUGUCAUUCCUGCCCGGGCGACAUUUUUUUUUUCCCUUAAGCUUCUGCACACUAAACAGAGGGAGAGAGCUUUCCCCUGCACUCUUCUUGAAGUCCCCCUGCUUUUUACUCAGUUUUGCUUUCUAUUUGAUAUCCCCUCCAGUCUCUGAAUACUAUCAUUGAACUCGUUUGCAUAAUGGGUGAGUUUUCUAUCUCUCAUGUUUGUUCCUAUAUUUAUAUAUGCUAAAACCUAUGCAUUUCUUUUUUAUUUUCAAAUUUGUUGAUCAAAACCAAAGAAAUAAUAUUUGAAUGUUUAUUAUUUUUCUUGAGAUGUGAAGUAGAAAUAUAAAAAUACAACAUUCUCUUAAGAGCUCUGAACUAGAGAAAAGUAUCUUAUCUUAUGCAUCUCUUUCAUUGUUCCACUCAUUCUCUAUUAAUGCAACCAAAUAAGUGAUUUUUAAGACUGGUUUAGUUUUCUGAUAGUUUGCAACUUUUUUAGGGUAAAAUGUUCCUUAUUUGACUCAAGGUAUAAGCACCCACUUAUUAGAAGAAGGCAAAUAC